rnacentral:misc_RNA from 1 species
UGGACUACUCGGGUAUCUAAUCCUGUUUGCUCCCCACGCUUUCGAGCCUCAACGUCAGUUACAGUCCAGUAAGCCGCCUUCGCCACUGGUGUUCCUCCUAAUAUCUACGCAUUUCACCGCUACACUAGGAAUUCCACUUACCUCUCCUGCACUCUAGCUGCACAGUUUCCAAAGCAGUUCCGGGGUUAAGCCCCGGCAUUUCACUUCAGACUUGUGCUGCCGUCUACGCUCCCUUUACACCCAGUAAAUCCGGAUAACGCUUGCCCCCUACGUAUUACCGCGGCGGCUGGCACA